rnacentral:rRNA from 2 species
GCCUGCCCAGUGACCCAGUUCAACGGCCGCGGUAUCCUAACCGUGCGAAGGUAGCGUAAUCACUUGUUCUUUAAAUGAGGACUAGUAUGAAUGGCACCACGAAGGUUACGCUGUCUCCUCUUUCUAAUCAAUGAAACUAACCUCCCCGUGAAGAGGCGGGGAUAAAUAUAUAAGACGAGAAGACCCUAUGGAGCUUUAAACACACAGCAUUAGCCUCACACCUAUACACUUCAGAAAAAUAAACAUUACCCUGGCUAUAUGACUGUUAGUUUUAGGUUGGGGUGACCACGGAGUACAAAUUAACCUCCACAUUGAAUGGAAUACUCCUGAGCAAAAAGCCACGGCUUUAAGCACCAACAAAUUGACAUUAAUUGACCCAAUAUUUUGAUCAACGAACCAAGUUACCCUAGGGAUAACAGCGCAAUCCACUUCAAGAGCUCAUAUCGACAAGUGGGUUUACGACCUCGAUGUUGGAUCAGGGUGUCCCAGUGGUGCAGCCGCUACUAAAGGUUCGUUUGUUCAACGAUUAAAACCCUACGUGAUCU